GCUCCCAUCGUCCAGCCCGGUCAAUCGAAAGAACUGAUAGGACGUUGGCUUCUCAGGCCGAAGACACGGGUUCAAAUCCCGUUGGGAGCA
rnacentral:tRNA from 1 species